GUGUACUAAUUCAGAAUGUUUUCUUCUGUACAGAAUCAUGGGAAAUGCAAUGAUAGAAUACAGUUUAGUAUAAGAUUCUGAUGGUACUGGAACUGAUAUUGUAGUUCCAUAUGUUGGGAUUAUAAUUGAAAAAAUGUGUUUGUAUUAAAGACAUAAAAGAACGCCAGGCCCAAACACAAUUUAUACUGUUUGAACCAAAUGAACUAAAUGAUUUAUGUGAAGUUCUUUUUUUUUUACAAAUCUGGCACCUUUCAUAUUACACAACAUUAAAAAUAAAGAACACGUUGAAUGUUUGUGAGGCAAACUUUGACAUUCUAAAGUUCAAAAUCCGCAAUCCAUUCAUACUCCCCAAAAAGUCUGUUGAUUGAGGGUAAAGAUUAUGAUUGCUAUGAGCACCAUCAUCAGGUUACUGAAGAGGAGAAGGUGGGAAAGGAAGACUUGGGGGUUUUCCCUCCUCCUUUCGCUUGCGGGAGCUUGAACUCUUUUUAAGUCGGCCACCACACCAUGGCUAAUGGCCCCCGCUGAGCCUGCUGUCUCACUCCCGGCAUCAAGCCCAUCGUCCCUAAAUCAAACCAUAGAAAAUUGGGCUUAAAAUAUUGGGGAGAGGCCCCCCAAAAGAGACCCAAAAGCUGCAUCUGUCGCCGGCUUACAUGAAAGUUGAGCUCAUGAGGAGCAGUGGUCACAUCGGUCCUCGCUCGCAGUAGAUCUAAGAUGAAAAAGGUUGAGGCUUGUUCCUCUUUAGCUUUGCUUGUACGGUGUUUUAUAGAGCAGGAUCUUGUGGACUGUUGGAGAAAUGUGUGCCGUUCGAUGCAUUGCCUGAUGGAUGUGACAUGCUAGUAGUCCAGAGCGAGCUAAGAAAAGGACGUGGCUGGCUCCUGCCCAGCAUUACUGUGACAGCCAGGAUGUCGGUUCAGGACCUUUGGUGAAGUCGAGGUCAUGGUAAACAAUCAUGCCAGCACACAAGUGGGUUUUAGUGCGCCCCUUUCAUUCACGUGCAGAGAAAGGUGCCCCUCCCCUCAGCACACAGCUUCAAUUCCUCUGGCUUCCCGAGGGAAAAUACUGCCUUUCUCUAAAUAAACCCACUAUAUCUCUCUCUCUUUCACCCUCUCUCUCUCUCACACACACAUGCACACACUCCAGUAGGAGAGCAAAGCUUCGCGGGACGUGACCUCGGCUCUCCUUUAGGUAAACCGGCACUCCUGGCUAUGCGCAAGACCUGUGACUUCUUUUCUCAGCUUGAUCCUACUGGGAGAAGGCAGGAGAUGCAUAUGUAAUCCUGAUGUGUGUGUAUGUGUGAAACAGAAAGACUGAGGGAGUUCUUUUGUUGUUGUUGUUGUUGUUGUUGUUUUUUUCUUUUUCUCUUGGACCUUAUUUAUUACAUGAUGAUUUUACUAUGUAAAGGAGCACAGUGGCAAUAGCUGAAGUUGUCUUUUUUUAAUUUAUUUUUUAAAAAUAUGUAUUAAGAAAAUAAAGUCAAUCCCUCUGAUGGAAGCUGGAGCAAGGGUUACAUAUGAUUCAAGCUGGCUUAUAAACAAUAAUAACUCAUUUAUGAUAUGUAUAUAUCAACAGCCUCUUUCACUACGCUUACAUCAUGUGGAGACAGAAUAAAGGAAGACAGAGUUAUGCUACAUGUUAUUUUGUGAAUAAGAGAUUAUUAUAAUUAUAAUACACAUUAAAUGUAUGUUUAAUUAUGUUGAAUUAAUAUAAAAUAAUAUAUUAAUUUUAUUUAACUAUAAUUAGUUGUGACUGUGAUAAUAAAGGAAAAACAAACAGUGCUUCUGUGCAUGCAAAAAUGUUUAUUGUUACCACCAUAUUCUUAAUUCUAAAUCUUUAUAAUAAUAAUAAUAAAAAUGGAAACAAUGCACUGAAACAAUUGCUCAUGUAUUAUUUUAAAUUUAGAGAAAGAGAGAAAAACAUUUUUUACUAAAUAUAUUCUACUCUCAAUUAUGGUUGUUUUGUAUUUUUAAGCAGUUUUAUUUUCACAAUUUAAUCAAUAAAUGGUACCAUAUUUAAUUGCAAGCUUUAAACAGAUUUCAUUAUGUAAAAAGGCAAAGCAAAGAAGGCAACAUUAAUUUUUUUUUCAAAUUCAAAAUGCAUUAAAAAUACAAUUUAUGGAAUGAAAUGAAAAUUUUAUGUUGAUGGGGUCAGUGUUUAUUUAAUAUUAAAAGCUAAAUACUAUAGAAUGACAUGUGAAUAAGAGGUGAAUUCUAGCGUUUAUUCUGUCAUGUUAUUUUGAAUCCAGUUGACAUGCAAAUAUUGGACUAAUAUGAGAUGUUUUGUUUACCUGUUCUACUUUUAAUGUCAUUUGACUAAAGGAAAACCACUGGGCCAGUCAAUGUGAACUUUAGUACUUUGAUAUAAAGUAGGCCUAUAAGAAAUUUUAGGGGUCAUCCCUUCAACCCACAUAUCUUGAUUGCUGUUCAUAUGUAUUACAUAGUUGUCUGUUGUUAGAUUUUUAAUUGUGAUGUUUACCAUCUUCAAUAACAGUUUGAUAAGCUGAAUACAAGGGUCCAAACAAGGGUAGAUCAAUGACCAAUGUUGUCGUAAGGUAUAAAAAAUACCAAAAUGCCUUCAUAAUGUUGAACUGUUACAAAUAAAGAUGAUUUAUUAAACCAUAUAUGGUUAAAGUGUGUUUUGACACUGUUGUGUUUCCUCAGCCCCUCCUCUCUCUAUUUUUCCAUGGAAACUCAGGGAAGAGUUGAGGUAAGAACUAGUCUGAACAUGACAGCUUCACCAUGGAGGCACACAGUCACAACACCAAUUGUGUUUUGGAUACA
ensembl:lncRNA